rnacentral:tRNA from 1 species
GCCGGAAUAGCUCAGUCGGUAGAGCWGAGGACUGA